GACGUCAUCACAAAUAGACGUGUUGUCUUCCUCCUCAGAUCCCCUUCCCCUCCUCGCUUCUUUCCCCAUUGAUCCUGUCCUAGAGCUUGCUAAUCCCCAAAAUCAAACCCAAUCCACCCAGCGAGCUGUCCGCGUCCUCGUCGCCCCGCCUCGUCCAAGAACAGCAGAUGGCGAGCUCUUCCUCCUCCUCCAAGACCCCCGGCGAGGAGGCAUUUCUACAAGUGCCAUUAACACGGACCGGGUGGAUGCAGAUUCUAGGAAUGGGAGGAGGCCCACGUCGACUACAUCCGAGCUCGUUAGGGUCACAUCUUUGCAGUUGCCGCUGCUAAUCAGCUCCGACCAGGUGUUCAAGCAGAGGACAUUCUUCUUCAGGCUCAGGCUGACCUUAGGACCAUCCUGCUCGUGGGGAUUGCUAUGCUGUCAGCUGUUCUUCUCAUUCUAUGUUCCAUGGCUUAAUGUGUCAGGAUUUGGGAGCUACUAAUAUGAACCACCAUGGUGUUAGCUGCAGAAUACUUGGUCACCAGGCAUGCAUCUCUUCAAGCUUGAUCUGGAAAUUUCAAGAUAAGAAUGGUAGGUUCCUUCGUCAAAAACUAAAUCAUGCAACACCAGCGCCAACAUUCCAGAUGAUGAUUCUGAUGCAGAAGAACUGGACGAGGCCCACAGCAGCAAUGCAACUGGUCCAUCAGCAACUUCAGGCACAUCUAUUUAGAAGUUCCAUGGUCCAGUCAUCCUACAAACAUGCCGGUGUCUUUACAUAUGGGGCAUGUUGACCAAAACAAUACGCAUUGUUGAUCCCCUGACAUACACCCCAAAUGUUUGUGAGAAUAUAGAACUCCACAAGAUUUUCGCUGACAAGAUCCACAUAGCCUUGUUCACAUGCAUCUACAAGACAUCUUGGAGAAAAUCCCAAAUCAAAUCAUUGAAGCAAUUAAAGUUCAAUAGUUUCCUAACGUCACCUACGAACAAACGGUUUGAAAUAAUCAGUGGAUAUUGAACACUAAAGUAUUGCAGCAGCACCAUCCGUUUGGGAGGACAAAUUUUAUAAGUACUUUGUUGCUUAAUUGCAACAACUAUUCCCACAUUGCUCCACAUUUGUGUUGUACAGUGACAAAUUUUCCU